ACCGCAGCCGCGAUUGCGGACGCAGCUUGACACUCUCUACGAAGACCCGGACAUAUUAUACCGGAUGCUCAGCCGCGCGAAAAGCCGCAUAUUAACCCGGAAACGGAAGGGUUUCAACUUCUCGUCGAGAAAUUAGACGCGAGAUUGCGAGGUGAAUAUUGUGCAAGUGAACGAGCAAUUUGGAAAAAUAAGAGCGAGGAAGGAAAGGAAGGGACGAGGAAAAACGUCCGGUUACAACUGCAAAAUCUGUGCAACAUCGUCGCGUCAAAUCCACAACCGAAUAUGGCAAGCAUGAAGAAAUCACGUCAGGG